rnacentral:rRNA from 1 species
UACGUAGAGUGCAAGCGUUGUCCGGAAUCAUUGGGCGUAAAGAGCUCGUAGGCGGUUUGUCGCGUCUGCUGUGAAAACCCGAGGCUCAACCUCGGGCCUGCAGUGGGUACGGGCAGACUAGAGUGCGGUAGGGGAGAUUGGAAUUCCUGGUGUAGCGGUGGAAUGCGCAGAUAUCAGGAGGAACACCGAUGGCGAAGGCAGAUCUCUGGGCCGUAACUGACGCUGAGGAGCGAAAGCAUGGGGAGCGAACAGG